GCCGGAGUGGCGGAAUUGGCAGACGCAAGGGACUUAAAAUCCCUCGGGUGGUGACAUCCGUACCGGUUCAAGUCCGGUCUCCGGCA
rnacentral:tRNA from 1 species